ncrna:unclassified sequences Actino-pnp RNA
ACCGGUCCUCGGUAGUGGCCUCCGGAAGCAGCACGACCACCAGCUUCCGUGGGCCUCGAUCGAAGGCCGGG